UGGGGAAUAUUGGACAAUGGGCGCAGGCCUGAUCCAGCCAUGCCGCGUGAGUGAUGAAGGCCCUAGGGUUGUAAAGCUCUUUCACCGGUGAAGAUAAUGACGGUAACCGGAGAAGAAGCCCCGGCUAACUUCGUGCCAGCAGCCGCGGUAAUACGAAGGGGGCUAGCGUUGUUCGGAUUUACUGGGCGUAAAGCGCACGUAGGCGGACUUUUAAGUCAGGGGUGAAAUCCCGGGGCUCAACCCCGGAACUGCCUUUGAUACUGGAAGUCUUGAGUAUGGUAGAGGUGAGUGGAAUUCCGAGUGUAGAGGUGAAAUUCGUAGAUAUUCGGAGGAACACCAGUGGCGAAGGCGGCUCACUGGACCAUUACUGACGCUGAGGUGCGAAAGCGUGGGGAGCAAACAGG
rnacentral:rRNA from 1 species